GGAUUUCACGUGGGAGAGAGAGCAAAUUAGAAUGCAGGCUCAAGAGCGAUUUAAGAGGGGCCCUUCAACCACGGAAAGAAAGGGAGAGGGAGAAGGGAGGAGAAAGAGAGAGUCUGAUUGAUUGAUUAUGGCCAACUGUGAGAAGCAGAAUUCCACACUGAGGUCUGGCAGCACCCUAACAGGCACUUCUGCUCUCCCCCCACGAUGUGCCCACCCCACCUCUUGCAGCCGAGCAAUGCAACCUCAAUAGGAAAACAAUCUGACUUCAGUGCAAUUUCACUCCUAAGGAUUUUCCACAUAUUUAAAGAUGCUUUGCAUAUUUUUUUUCUAAAAUCCCCCAUGAGACUCUACAGUAUGUUCCUGAAUUCUUUUUAACCUCUUAACUUGUCAAAAGAGCAUUUCAAACCCUAGAUCUCAGGGGUCCCUGCCAGGCAUUUUCAAGUUUGAUUUUUGUGGGGAGGACAUCAACAAGUUAAAACCUAAAUGAGCAACAAACGAGGUGACGUGCGUUAUCAGUUUUGUCUUCCAUGUCUUCCUCAUCCUGCUGUUUGCUCCACGGCUCUUGACAGGAUGGAGACGAGGAAAGAACUUCCACAUCCACAUUCAAAACGUCUGCCAGAACUCCCUCAGGCAAGUAAGAGAUGAUUUCUCUUCGAGAGCUUUGCAUGUUGAUGAGACAGUGAGUCAGGAAGAGAUUGGAUUGAACUUGCUUGAAUAUAAAGCUGCUUGAGAUUUUCAAAUUGGAGUCUUGUACCCUUUCUAUAGAAAAAGUCACUGGCUUGUCACUACUCGGAGCAUGAAUUUCCACGUUACUAGAGUUUCUUUGAUCUUUAGAGAGAAAGUGUGAAAUAGUUAAAGGCUUGAAAGUGGCCAGAAAAUUCAUAAACAUGCAUUCAAAAAUAA
rnacentral:lncRNA from 1 species